rnacentral:rRNA from 1 species
UACAGAGGCCCCGAGCGUUACCCGGAAUUACUGGGCGUAAAGAGUGCGUAGGUGGUUGUGUUAGUCGGCUGUUAAAUGCUCAGGGCUCAACCUUGGGAAUCCGGUCGAAACGGCACAACUCGAGGGCGUGAGAGGUACAUGGAACUCAUGGUGUAGGGGUGAAAUCCGUUGAUAUCAUGGGGAACACCGAAAGCGAAGGCAAUGUACUGGCGCGUUCCUGACACUCAAGCACGAAAGCGUGGGUAGCGAACGGG